rnacentral:rRNA from 1 species
GCUAAUACCGCAUAAGCCCACGGGUCGGCAUCGACCAGAGGGAAAAGGAGCAAUCCGCUUUGAGAUGGCCUCGCGUCCGAUUAGCUAGUUGGUGAGGUAAUGGCCCACCAAGGCAACGAUCGGUAGCCGGACUGAGAGGUUGAACGGCCACAUUGGGACUGAGACACGGCCCAGACUCCUACGGGAGGCAGCAUG